AUGCUCUUGUGGCUUCCAUGCAGAAGUGCACAGAAACAGCUAUUUGCAAUUAAGAAGUUGGCUGUUACUGUUUUUCUGAUGGAUGCUGUUGGAUUAU
rnacentral:pre_miRNA from 1 species